CCUUUCGUCGAGCACCUUGUGUGCAUUUGGGGUCGCCUAGCUUCUCGCCAUGGGAUCGUCUCAGACCUUCACAGAAGAAUGGAAAUCUCUCUUCCCAAUUUCCUCAGUCUUCAAGCCUCCCCUCCUCCUUUCAAACCCUUCUCUAAAACCCAUUCUGGGUCCUCUGAUCUUCAACCCUAAACCCAACUCCACAACCCUCCUUUUUUCUUCUUCCUCUUCUCUCCUUCCCCCUCUCCCUCCUUUACCUCAUCUCUCUCUCCCUCGUUUUCUCCUCACUUCCCCCCCUGACUCUGCCCCUCUUCCCUCCUCCGUUCCCUCCGUAGCCUCCUUCUUGGGCCCGCACCACCCCAAAAGCGACGUCUCCUCGUCUCUCCUCUACAACCGUCUUGAAUUCCUUCAGUGCCCGCAGAUUAACACCGUCGUUGUAUUCUUCCCCACCGGUGAAAACUCUGACCAAGUUGGGUUCUUGCAGUUGGUGUUAAAAGAUUCGACAUUUGAUGUCAAAGUGGAUGAAAACGGAGGGGUUUUCGCUUCCAGGCGGUGGUUUAGUUAUCGGAUUUCGAGGAUUUCAGUGAACCCGAUUCCUGGGUUUUUGAGUUUAAGAGGUAAUGGUUCUUGUGUGACAAUUGGGUAUUUAUUGGCUUCUACUAUGUACUCUGUGCAUUGGUUUAUUGUAAAGUUUGGAGAUUUUGGUCCAAAUUCAGAUAGUAGGGUUAGUUUAGUUCAUUUGGGUAGUAAGAUUUUCAAGACUUGCUGUGUUGUACAUGCUUGUUGGAGUCCACAUUUAUUGGAAGAGAGUGUGGUCUUGUUAGAGAAUGGUGAUUUAUUCUUGUUUGAUUUAGACUCUCGUCUAAAAACCCCCCACACUUUGAAUGCAAAUUUUAAAUUUAAUGGGACCAGAUUGAAAGUGCCCUGGGAUAUUGAUGAUGGUUCGGGUAGCUCACGAAAUUAUAGGUGGUUGAGUUGUGAGUUCAGUUGGCACCCUAGAGUUUUGAUAGUUGCACGUUCAGAUGCAGUUUUCUUAGUUGAUUUGAGGACCCAUGAGUGUAAUGUUAGUUGUUUGAUGAAAAUUGAGAUGUUGCAUAUGUAUGCCUCCGUUGAAAAGGAGCAGUUCCUUGUGCUUUCAAAGGCAGGUUCUGACGAUUUUCACUUUGUUUUGGCUUCUGACACUUUGUUAGUUUUUUGUGAUGUGCGCAAGCCAUUGAUGCCGGUGUUGCAAUGGGCUCAUGGCCUUGAUAAACCAAGCUAUGUUGAUGUUUUAAGACUGUCAGAGUUGAGGUCACAGUCGAGGGAUGACAAAUUUAAUUGGGCUUCUGACUCGGGUUUUUGCAUUAUAGUGGGGUCGUUUUGGAAUUGUGAGUUUAGUAUCUUUUGCUAUGGACCUUCCCUCCCAGCUCCGAUAGGAUCAGUAGCUUCGAAAAUAGCAGAACUUCGGAAAUCCUUCUAUGCAUGGGAGCUCCCUUCAGAUCUUUUAUUGUCAGGCCAUGAGUGCCAUUGCGGAAGCUGUCUUGUAAAAGAAGAGUUUUCAAAAGACGCUCCUCCUGAAUGGAUUGAUUGGCAGCAGAAGAAAGAAAUUGUUUUGGGCUUCGGCAUUGUAAACAAAGAUCUGUCUUCUCUGCAUUCUGAACCAGAUGAAUUUGGUGGUUUUACAUUGAUAAGACUUAUGUCCUCAGGGAAGCUUGAAUUACAGAGAUAUUGUGCAUCAUUUGAUUCUGUAAAAAAAGUAGAAGAAUCACACAGAGAACAUUUGCUUUUUAAGGAUUAUUUGCUGUACUCCCUAGUUGAUGAGGAAUACAAAUUUCCUAGGAAAUUUAAGUACCUUAAACUUGACUACCUCUGUGGUUAUCUGAAUGGUAAUCUUGAUGAAGUCUUAGAUGACAAAAUAAAAAUUCCCUAUAAUGAUCAAGGGAAGGAACUUUUUAGCUCAGAGUUUCAUGAAACUUUAUGCAAAAAGUUACAUGCUUGUGGUUUUGGUAAGUUUAGAUAAUCUCCUGCAGUUACAAGUGUUUUAAAUGACAUUAGCUUGCCCGCAAGCAUACACGAGGUUGUUUUGAAGAGAUUGUGGUCAGACUUGCCCAUUGAGCUUCUGGAACUGGCCUUUUCUAACAACUCUGAAAUCCUUGAAGUGCUUGUGGACAAAAAUAGGGUGGCUUUGGAAUUCUCUGUAGUACCAGACCUAUCUCAGUUGCCUCCUUUCAUUUUAAGGAAGUCUUCACGCCGCAGUAAUAAGUGGUCACAGAAAGUGCAACCUGGUGAUGCCCUUGUGGGUCCAGUUCUUCCUCUUCCUGUUUUGCUUGCACUUCAUGAAUAUCGCAAUGGAUGUCCGAAUUCAGAUGAAAAAUCAGGUAGAUUUUCAGUAGAGGCAGAGAUCAAUCGCAGCUGUGAUGAGGUCAUGCAGGUCACCGGUGAACUGGCUGUUUCUAUUUCUGAGGCUGAGAUUGUCGAUAAUCCAUGGAGAAGCUCUCAAAAGUCAAAACCUUUCUUUUCAUAUCAGCCAGUUGCGGCUAAAGGAUCUCCACUGGAUCAUACACAGGCCAAAUCUGUUUAUAAGGAUGACAGGUUUGACACCUUAAUUUCUAAAGUGUCUGAUAAGAAGCAUGUAUCCAACGACAAUCAGGAUAAUGUCGGACUAGAACUAUUUGAUGAUCUUUGCCCUGUAGAGUUGAGAUUUGAUGCUUCUUCCCUGAAGUUUGAACAGAAGGAAUUGGAGGCGUAUUGUAAAUUGAAGGGGGAAUUCUUAAAAUGGCAAAAGAGCUUUGACUUGUAUCAAGAAUUCUGCUCUCGGAUUGAAUCAAAAAGCUCAUAAAUGUUUCUUUAAUUCUUUUUUCCAUGUUCCUGCAAAUUUUUCACCACUGAGUUAAAACCCUCCCUUCUGUACUUGUUUUCCCUGUAAUUAAUUUUGAUUUAUUUAGAUUAUAGAUGAAUAGGAAAAGUUCCUGUGUAUACGACAGGAUCAUAAUGUAAACAGCCACAGCUACCCAGACAAAUCGUUUUAUACAGUAAG